rnacentral:rRNA from 1 species
UACGAAGGGGGCUAGCGUUGCUCGGAAUUACUGGGCGUAAAGGGCGCGUAGGCGGAUACUUAAGUCGGGGGUGAAAGCCCAGGGCUCAACCCUGGAAUAGCCUUCGAUACUGGGUAUCUUGAGUUCGGGAGAGGUGAGUGGAACUCCGAGUGUAGAGGUGAAAUUCGUAGAUAUUCGCAAGAACACCAGUGGCGAAGGCGGCUCACUGGCCCGGUACUGACGCUGAGGCACGAAAGCGUGGGGAGCAAACAGG